rnacentral:rRNA from 1 species
UACGAAGGGGGCUAGCGUUGCUCGGAAUCACUGGGCGUAAAGGGUGCGUAGGCGGGUCUUUAAGUCAGGGGUGAAAUCCUGGAGCUCAACUCCAGAACUGCCUUUGAUACUGAGGAUCUUGAGUUCGGGAGAGGUGAGUGGAACUGCGAGUGUAGAGGUGAAAUUCGUAGAUAUUCGCAAGAACACCAGUGGCGAAGGCGGCUCACUGGCCCGAUACUGACGCUGAUGCGCGAAAGCGUGGGGAGCAAACGGG